rnacentral:rRNA from 1 species
AGUGAGCGCUGGCGGUAGGCCUAACACAUGCAAGUCGAACGGCAGCACAGUAAGAGCUUGCUCUUACGGGUGGCGAGUGGCGGACGGGUGAGGAAUACAUCGGAAUCUACUUUUUCGUGGGGGAUAACGUAGGGAAACUUACGCUAAUACCGCAUACGACCUACGGGUGAAAGCAGGGGAUCUUCGGACCUUGCGCGAUUGAAUGAGCCGAUGUCGGAUUAGCUAGUUGGCGGGGUAAAGGCCCACCAAGGCGACGAUCCGUAGCUGGUCUGAGAGGAUGAUCAGCCACACUGGAACUGAGACACGGUCCAGACUCCUACGGGAGGCAGCAGUGGGGAAUAUUGGACAAUGGGCGCAAGCCUGAUCCAGCCAUACCGCGUGGGUGAAGAAGGCCUUCGGGCUGUAAAGCCCUUUUGUUGGGAAAGAAAAGCAGCAGGUUAAUACCCCGCUGUUCUGACGGUACCCAAAGAAUAAGCACCGGCUAACUUCGUG